ACGGGAGGCAGCAGUGGGGAAUAUUGGGCAAUGGGCGCAAGCCUGACCCAGCAACGCCGCGUGAAGGGAGAAGGCUUUCGGGUUGUAAACUUCUUUGACAGGGGAAGAGCAGAAGACGGUACCCUGAAAACAAGCCACGGCUAACUACGUGCCAGCAGCCGCGGUAAUACGUAGGUUGCAAGCGUUGUCCGGAUUUACUGGGUGUAAAGGGCGUGUAGGCGGAUUUGCAAGUCAGAUGUGAAAUCCCGGGGCUCAACCCCGGAACUGCAUUUGAAACUGUAGACCUUGAGUAUCGGAGAGGCAAGCGGAAUUCCUAGUGUAGCGGUGAAAUGCGUAGAUAUUAGGAGGAACACCAGUGGCGAAGGCGGCUUGCUGGACGACAACUGACGCUGAGGCGCGAAAGCGUGGGGAGCAAACAGGAUUAGAUACCCUGGUA
rnacentral:rRNA from 1 species